UACGAAGGGGGCUAGCGUUAAUCGGAAUUACUGGGCGUAAAGCGUGCGCAGGCGGUGAUGUAAGACAGGUGUGAAAUCCCCGGGCUUAACCUGGGAACUGCAUCUGUGACUGCAUCGCUGGAGUACGGUAGAGGGGGAUGGAAUUCCGCGUGUAGCAGUGAAAUGCGUAGAUAUGCGGAGGAACACCGAUGGCGAAGGCAAUCCCCUGGACCUGUACUGACGCUCAUGCACGAAAGGCGUGGGGAGCAAACAGG
rnacentral:rRNA from 1 species